UGCGUGCUGUCUCAGGCUCCAGUACAGCCCCACUCUCUCUGCCUGGGGAGAAGCCAAAGCAGCCCCCCUCCCCUCCUAUGCCUGCCGAAUGCCGAACUCGCCUCUGGUGUGUGACAGGGUCAGGUGUCUGUGACGUAGGCGGAGGUCCGCGCGAUGCAUCGCUGCUGAUGUCGGCGGUGAGGGCCUGGAUGGCGUUGCGUCGGGGCGACCUGCGACCGUGCACACGCCUGCACACCGUCUAUGUGAUGGGCGAAGUGCCAGCGUGGCUCGAACGCACCCCGCACGGCCCUCACACUGACCACUGGUGGGGGGCAGCCUGAGCGCCACGCCGAGGGGGAUGCACCAGGGGUGGCGACCGGCACAAUGGGGGAGCGGCUGUGAGGCGACCUGCUCGGCGGGCAUGUGGGCUGGGCUCGAGGCAGAGGCGGUGCUGAGACGACUGGGUCGGCGCAUUGCUGCCGUGCGCGCGUGCGCCCAGGGCUGCUUGGCACCAGGCGGAUGGGGCACCUGUGGCAGGGGUCUGUGGUGGUGCGCGGUGGGCGGAGCGGCAUGGCGUGACGUUCGAGCUCGUGUUGUGUGGCAAAGAAAUGGAAGCGUGGAACGAAGGGACUCUCCUCCCCAUGAUGGCGGCUUGGAAUGCACGUGGCGCGGUCCACCUGCAUCAUUGCCGCCUCAUCGCUGUUCCGCCCCACACGUGCACCGAUCAACCGAGCACAACUGUCGCAUAGACGGACAUGCGAAAACGCAAAGCCGCUCUCAGGCUCACGGCUAUGCAUACAGCGUCUCGCAUCCCCCUCCCUCCCUCUCCUGCUCUACCACCUUACCGCCGCGUAG
rnacentral:misc_RNA from 1 species